rnacentral:lncRNA from 1 species
AAUCGUGCGGCACAAACCGUGUUCUGCGAACCGUGCGGUACAAAGCACAUUGUACGGCUAUGUUCAAUUGUUGGCGCCUUUGCGCCAUCUUAAGUAAUAACGUUUUUGUUUUCCUGUCGUAGAU